rnacentral:lncRNA from 1 species
GGAGCACCCAGCCAGCUGCUGCAACCCGCUGCCCUCUGGUGUCCUGCUGUGGGAGCUUUGUUCUUUCACUCUCGUAAUAAGUCUUGCUGCUGCUCACUCUUUGGGUCCGCACUGUCUCUGUGAGCUGUAACACUCACCGCGAGGUUCUGUGCCUUCGUUCUUUAAGUCAGGGAGACCACGAACCCACCGGGAGGAACAAACAACUGUGAUGCGCCAUCUUUAAGAGCUGUAACAUUCACCGCCGGGGUCUGCGGCUUCAUUCCUGGAGUGAGUGAGACCACGAACCCACCAGAAGGAAGAAACUCUGGACCCAUCUGAACAGCUGAAGGAACAAACUCCGGACACACCAUCUUUAAGAACUGUAACACUCACCGGGAGUCUCCGUGGCUUCAUUCUUGAAGACAGCGAGACCAAGAACCCACCAGAAGGAAUGAAUUCCGCACACAGCAACAGCACAAAGUUAAACCAGGAAGUCCCUCUGCCUUGCUAGGGAUCCAGGUUUGCCUUCCUGUUGAGGUAUCCCAUUUCAUUACAGUUGACCUAAGUUUGAACAAACACUGCCACCUGAUGCAUGAAAGCUCUACUGUGACCUACGUUAAAAGGAGCUGACACUCCCUCAGGCUACCUUAGUCAGUGGGGGCUUACUGCAGCAUACCUGUGGCGAUGAGAGAGAGAGGCACAUCACAGGAGCAUCUGGCACCAGUGGCAUCCUGAAUUUAAGAUGAAACAAUAGAGAAAGAACCAAGAAGUUACAUACAUUCAUCAGAAUUGCUGGAGAGUCCUGACCUCUGGCCAUCGAUCAAAGGGAAGCGUUCACUACUGAAGGUUUGUCUUCACUGUACUGGGUAUUCAACUUCCUUGAAAUUAAAAGGAAGAAGGAUAAAAAGUGGUAUGCUGAAUGGAUUAAAGCUCUCUUAAAGGAGAAAGGAUGCAAAACAAAACAAAUUACUCAGAAAAAGAUGAUGGAAACUACAUCACCAUAAAAAGUUGAAAGAGGUUGGACGCAGUGGCUCACACCUGUAAUCCCAGCACUUUGGGAGGCCGAG